AUUGCCGACGCAUCAAAAUGUACUCAGUCCGUUCGCGGGUCGUUCGUUCAGUUCGUUCGCGGGUCGUAUUGAAAAAAGUGCCGAGAGAGUUACCGAAAAAAGUGUGUCAUCCAGUGUCCAGUGUAGAACAUCGUCGUGGAAGUUUUCACCGGAAAAUCCAUCAAGACGUCUUCGAGUUAUGCGAAAACGAACAGAGACCGUUUAAUCGUGGACAAAUUCUAGUGCUUUACCGCAGUGUUUCCUGUUGUGCGGUAACCAAGUAUCGGUGAUAGUCCUGGACUUAAUACCAACUUUUAAUCGGAUACUCUGGGCUUGGCAUCUAUUGAGUGUGAGUAUUUAGUAGUACAUAAUUUGUUGAGGAUACUUGUAUUAUG